AUGGCGCCGAAGAAGACGCCGAAGGGCAAGUCGGGCUUCUUCGGCGUGAGGCAGAAGCCCUCCGGCAACUGGGGUGUGGAGUUCUCCGACGCCGGAAGGCGUUGGUGGAUCGGCACGUACCCCUCCGCCCACGAGGCUGCGCGUGCCUACGACGUGGCGGUGUGGCGUGCCGAGAGGCCUCGGUCGCACCUCAACUUUCCAGAGAUCGAGAGUCGGGCGGUAGCGGAGAUGCUUGUGCCGCAGGGCAUCAACAUGAAGGAGAUCACGACGACGAAGAAGAAGAAGAUGAAGAAGCCGUUGGUUGUCGUUAGUGCUGGCGAGACCGAUGAGGAGGCGAUGGCGAGGUUUGCUCGGCAUCCGGAGUACGUCCAGGCCAAGCUGGAGUACUACUGGAAGCGUGAGGCGGAGCAGAAGAAGAAGGGGCUGAAGAAGGAGGAUGAGGCCGGUCCCUCGACGGUGAUCCCCAUCGAGUCCUCUUCCGAGGAGGACUGGGCAGACUUCUCGGAGGAGGAGGAGGAGGAGGAGGAGGGGUGCGACGACCCGACGAAGGAGGAGUUCUGGGAGCAGUUCCGUAGCUCCGGUGAGGAGUAG
rnacentral:rRNA from 1 species